rnacentral:rRNA from 1 species
GUUUGAUCCUGGCUCAGGAUGAACGCUGGCGGCGUGCCUAAUACAUGCAAGUCGAGCGAACAGAUAAGGAGCUUGCUCCUUUGACGUUAGCGGCGGACAGGUGAGUAACACGUGGAUAACCUACCUAUAAGACUGGGAUAACUUCGGGAAACCGGAGCUAAUACCGGAUAACAUAUUGAACCGCAUGGUUCAAUAGUGAAAGGCGGCUUUGCUGUCACUUAUAGAUGGAUCCGCGCCGUAUUAGCUAGUUGGUAAGGUAACGGCUUACCAAGGCAACGAUACGUAGCCGACCUGAGAGGGUGAUCGGCCACACUGGAACUGAGACACGGUCCAGACUCCUACGGGAGGCAGCAGUAGGGAAUCUUCCGCAAUGGGCGAAAGCCUGACGGAGCAACGCCGCGUGAGUGAUGAAGGUCUUCGGAUCGUAAAACUCUGUUAUCAGGGAAGAACAAAUGUGUAAGUAACUGUGCACAUCUUGACGGUACCUGAUCAGAAAGCCACGGCUAACUACGUGCCAGCAGCCGCGGUAAUACGUAGGUGGCAAGCGUUAUCCGGAAUUAUUGGGCGUAAAGCGCGCGUAGGCGGUUUUUUAAGUCUGAUGUGAAAGCCCACGGCUCAACCGUGGAGGGUCAUUGGAAACUGGAAAACUUGAGUGCAGAAGAGGAAAGUGGAAUUCCAUGUGUAGCGGUGAAAUGCGCAGAGAUAUGGAGGAACACCAGUGGCGAAGGCGACUUUCUGGCCUGUAACUGACGCUGAUGUGCGAAAGCGUGGGGAUCAAACAGGAUUAGAUACCCUGGUAGUCCACGCCGUAAACGAUGAGUGCUAAGUGUUAGGGGGUUUCCGCCCCUUAGUGCUGCAGCUAACGCAUUAAGCACUCCGCCUGGGGAGUACGA